AGGCAUUUUGAAAAUUAAAAAAAAAAAAACAAAAACUUCCAGCAAAAAAAAAAAAAAAAAAAAAAAAAUAAACAAACAAACAAAUGAAAAAAACUCAUUCCUCCAAUCUAUAAUCAUCAAAAAAAUUGCUACCCAAUCCUUGGGCGAUCUCCACUAUCAAUCUAAUAUCCCUCACAGUGAGAGUCAUCUGUCCACAAUGAAUCAUGGCCUUAAGGCCACCUGUGAAAUGAUUAGUGAGAUAUUGUUACAUUGAUUUUCACAUGAUAUCAUACACUCAAAAAGUGUGACCAAUGUGGUCUCAACUGCGACUUGAAGAGCAUCGAGGGCGGAACACUGGAAGUGAUACUUCCCCCCAUCAAUCUCCCAGACAAGAUGAGCAAACGCGGCCUUGGGGAAAAUGAGAUCCCCAGACUUCUGAUAAUAUCAGAUCUCAUGAAUAGCCUCUACUCUCAUAUCAGUAUCUAGUGUUAUCAAAAAGCAUUACUUUGAAUUUCAUACUCUGCUUA
rnacentral:sRNA from 1 species